ensembl:lncRNA
GUUUGGGAAUCACAUGGCCGGAGAAUUUCUAAAGACCCUUGCAGCUGUGACAUAUGACUUCAGUGAUUAAGAGACUAACCUGGAGUCUGACUGAUUUCAGUUAAAUUCCUGGUUGCCAGUCACCAGCACCACCUCAGUUUCAUCCCGUAAAGGAGGGUAAUGGCGCCUACCCCAGGACUCCUGCAUGAAUCGUCCGCUCCUUCAGCCUGACUGUUCUUCUCGCAGUGGGUGGGUUCCUGUCGCCUCCUGGUGGUAAGACUAAAAGAGGGACUUAGAACUUUCCCACAGACGAGGAAAUUGAGACUUAGAGAAGCAAACUUCCCAUAAACGAUCUGGGCCCAGGCGUUCCACUUGCCCCAGGUUCAUAGGUGCACCGGGGGAUGACCGUGCCACGUGACAGCCCCAGCCUGGAGCAGGAGACCUGGUUCUACCACUGAGAGUUACUCAUCACACACCGUGGGCCCUGGAGAGACAGCUGUGAACAGAAUAGACAAAGUCCCUGGCCUCAGGGAGUUUUUCUUCAUAGCUCCUGUGACAUCAUUCAGAGACGUGUGGGGAACUACCCAGUGGGGAGAUAGUAUCCUCAUUUCUCGAAGGCCUCUUGGAGACGGUGCUGGGCUGAGUGGUUCUCAGAGUCAGAGGAGACAUCAGUGCCCCAGUUUUAUUCUCUGUGCCUCCCAAUAACCUCAUCUCACAGCCUGUGCAUUCCAUGAGGAAAAAACCAAGCUGGAACACCAUUUUCAGCUCCUUCGGCCAGCGCCCAACAGUCACUAGGGCUUCCUUCAGCCCAGGCUCUGAGCUCAAACAGCUGACCUGAAUCCUGCUCACUCCCGCCUGUCCUCCUGUGAGACCCUGGACAGUGGCUUAACCUUCCUUAGCCUCUGUUUCCUUAUCCAAGAAGCAAGGCUAAGACUAGGACCCUGGGGACUUCCCUGGUGGUCCAGUGGCUAAGACGCCAAGCUCCCAAUGCAUGGGCCUGGGUUUGAUGCCUGGUCAGGGAACUAGACCCCACACGCCGCAACUAAGAGUUCACAUGCCACAGCUGAGAACCGAUGCAGCCAAAAAA